rnacentral:rRNA from 1 species
AUUGAACGCUGGCGGCAGGCCUAACACAUGCAAGUCGAGCGGUAGAGAGGUGCUUGCAUCUCUUGAGAGCGGCGGACGGGUGAGUAAUGCCUAGGAAUCUGCCUAGUGGUGGGGGAUAAACGUUCGGAAACGGACGCUAAUACCGCAUACGUCCUACGGGAGAAAGCGGGGGAUCUUCGGACCUCGCGCCAUUAGAUGAGCCUAGGUCGGAUUAGCUAGUUGGUGAGGUAAUGGCUCACCAAGGCGACGAUCCGUAACUGGUCUGAGAGGAUGAUCAGUCACACUGGAACUGAGACACGGUCCAGACUCCUACGGGAGGCAGCAGUGGGGAAUAUUGGACAAUGGGCGAAAGCCUGGUCCAGCCAUGCCGCGUGUGUGAAGAAGGUCUUCGGAUUGUAAAGCACUUU